rnacentral:misc_RNA from 1 species
GAUGAAGAACGCAGCGAAAUGCGAUAAGUAGUGUGAAUUGCAGAAUUCAGUGAAUCAUCGAAUCUUUGAACGCACAUUGCGCCCCUUGGUAUCCCGAGGGGCAUGCCUGUUCGGGCGUCAUUUCACCACUCAAGCCUGGCUUGGUGUUGGGCGACGUCCCCUUUGGGGACGCGCCUCGAAACGCUCGGCGGCGUGGCACCGGCUUUAAGCGUAGCAGAAUCUUUCGCUUUGGAAGUCGGGGCCCCGUCUGCCGGAAGACCUACUCGCAAGGUUGACCUCGGAUCAGGCAGGGAUACCCGCUGAACUUAAGCAUAUCAAUAAGCGGAGG